CGCCGACGGUUGCCGCUGC
rnacentral:miRNA from 1 species